AUGAACGCUGGCGGCGUGCCUAAUACAUGCAAGUCGAGCGAACAGACGAGGAGCUUGCUCCUCUGACGUUAGCGGCGGACGGGUGAGUAACACGUGGAUAACCUACCUAUAAGACUGGGAUAACUUCGGGAAACCGGAGCUAAUACCGGAUAAUAUAUUGAACCGCAUGGUUCAAUAGUGAAAGACGGUUUUGCUGUCACUUAUAGAUGGAUCCGCGCCGCAUUAGCUAGUUGGUAAGGUAACGGCUUACCAAGGCAACGAUGCGUAGCCGACCUGAGAGGGUGAUCGGCCACACGGGAACGGAGACACGGUCCAGACUCCUACGGGAGGCAGCAGUAGGGAAUCUUCCGCAAUGGGCGAAAGCUUGACGGAGCAACGCCGCGUGAGUGAUGAAGGUCUUCGGAUCGUAAAACUCUGUUAUUAGGGAAGAACAAAUGUGUAAGUAACUAUGCACGUCUUGACGGUACCUAAUCAGAAAGCCACGGCUAACUACGUG
rnacentral:rRNA from 1 species